AGUCCUAUAAGGGAAUAGUAAUCUUAUUGAGAAAGGGUUAUUGACCUCAGCCAAUUCAGGAACAGUUGUUCACUUGGCUAGAGGGAAAAACAAGGAGUGUGGCCAAUUCUCCUAACACUUGCUCCUCAAUCCCUUCUUAGGAAGACUUGCUGCAUGGUGGAUGGUCCUGAGAUGGCGGUGCUCACAGGUGGUCACGUUUGGUGCUUGCAGAUUCGUAAUCCCUGCGCCCUUGGCUUUAUUUAUUCUGAUCAUACAAUGACAAACCAGUUCCCAGUGCUGCUAUAGAGGGCUUUCUGGACUGCAAUGCACCUUCCGUAAGGAGAACUUGGCUUCAGCAGCUAGUCCAGGUAUGUAUAAUGACAGUCACACGCUUGCCUUAUGAUGCACCUGUGCUUCCUGACAAGAGUCUAAGCACUGAUGGAAGGGUUGUGCUAUUCAGGAGGGUGCUGGUAUCAUUUCCAGACCAUCAUGGGAGGGAGAGAAUCACACAGCAGAUACUGUGUUUCCUGCUUUGGGUGAACCUUACUCUUUGAUUAUUUGAAUGAGUCUGUGGAGUCAAGCGAGUGUAAGGGCGUUCUGGUGUUACCCUGGUAGAAACGUAUCAGCUGGCACAUAAGUGGUCACCCUCACUGCUUUUGCUCCAGAGAAGAUUCCUGACUGACACAUCUUGCUGAAAAAGGCUCUCGGUCUGUCUUGCUUCAUAGUGGGAAGUUCACUGGGAAAUGCCUGGGUUUUGUUUCAUGCACUUGCUCAUUUGCAGGAAAGUUGUUAUCGUAACUGAUGCUGGGGGAAGGCUGAGGCCUUCCCAUGACCCUCUUUUGGGGAUUUUUUUUUUUAAGUUAAAUUCUUAUUUAUAUCCCAACUUCAUGUUCCACACAUUGGUCAAGAGCAGUGACAAGAGAAUCCAUGUGGGCUGUUGUACAGAUUUUCGAGAGCUGAUAAAGAUAUCACCAGGAUGAGAGAUCUUCCCAGUUGGAAGUGUGGAGACUGGGGGGUGCUCUCAAGGUAGGGCUAGCCGCUGUACCUAGGGACUGGAUGGGCCACCAUCAGAUGUGAGCAUGUAGGAAGAGGAGGGGCCCAAAGUAGUACAACAGUGAUGUUGGCGGAACCACAGUCCCCGAGUGGCUAUCUCAGCUAAGGCAAUGACCCUGGACGGACUGAAAGGCUGAGAAGAUGGAAGAAAGGGUCACAAAAUGAGGAAGUCAUAGGACCAAUGUUGGGGAUCUUGAUGAUACAUCCACAAAUGAGUUGUUAGACUGGGAAACAAAAUAGAGGUGGGGAACUACCCCCGGCUAGCCAGAACUGUAGGAAAUAAGAUGCAUACUUUCCAAGUCCUCAGGAGAGAGCCAGGUUUCCAUCAGGGAGAAACGUGGGGCCAUGGAAAAGAAGUGAAGCCCCGAGGGACUUUGCUAGUGAAUAUGUUCUAUGGAACCACGGGGGCAGGUGGGACAUGGGGGGUGAGAGAUAGGUUCUUACUGGAGCUUUGGGAAGCUGCCCUAAGGAAUAGUUAGCUUCCUAGUGGAGAUGGUAACUGGUCCUUCUCGUACAAGGUUGCUUCUAGGAUUUGGGUAAGCCAUUUGUGAUGGUCUUCUUCUUCUUCUUGAAACUGAUUUCUUGGAGAUGAGACAGUAGGAGUGGAGGAUCGCCUGGGAUCAUGUAGAGCUCAAUGACCCUUCUCUUGAUUCAUGUGAGGAUGCUAGUAGCCUUGGUUGGAUUUUUCUGCAGUGGGACUUUUAUAGUCCCCUCAGGACCUUGAUGUGACUAACCAUAUGUUCACCAUUGAGAAACGCAAGUCCCCAUCCACACACCCCAGGGUCUAUAUACCUGCAGAGGACUUCUGACCUACAGCAAGUGGGCUCCCUUCUCAUCUUGAAAACCUUCCAGUGUGAACUCUAGAACCAAGGAAGACAGAGAAAGGGGACAAUGUCAGCAUCAUUGCAAGGGAGGUUGGUGGUUGGAAACCAUAGCCCUUGGAGAAAUGGAAGGGGCCCUUUGUCUGUCUUGUCUCUGCUUUUCUGUGGUACUUGAAGAGAAGUUGUUCGUGGUGGAUUCGCUUUACUUGUGACGAAUCAUUCACGGACAACACUUUUUUCAGUACCAAAUGCUACCUCUAAGGAUUUCCUGGACAUGAUGGCAACUUGCAGAAAGAUGGCGGUUCAGUCAAGCUGGUAGAGAAGCCAAGUAUGGAUGUUUGGCCACGGACAGUGUGCUUGAGCUAGCUGUAAGUCACCUGGUCGGGUUACCUGAGCAUCUGAUCCAUCUGUAGGCCUCUCAUCAGUGGGCCGUGCUAACCUUGGUGAGGCAGCUGUGGCUCAGCCCCCCAAGUAUCAGCUUACAAGACUUUGAAAAGAGGUCAUCUUCCGGAAGAGAUGUUGGUGCCAGCACCAUUCAGGGUGUGUGACUGGUUGACCAGAGGGGCAUGCACUCUGUUCACCCUGUGGGCCACCUAGUCACCAACCCUCAGCAUCAAUUCCACUCAAAGAAGAGUUUCCAGAGAUCCUAUCAAGUUUGGGGAUGUGUCAAUGGACUUGAUGGCUGUGCCUGCUCAGUGGACCAGGAUGAACUGUGGUCUUAGGGGUGUAUGUUUACAUAAGAUGCCAUGAGGCAUUCGUGGUAGCCGCUGCAUCACUAUCACAGCCUACUUGAAAUGUUGACUUCAGAUGUGGACAUGAUGUUGACUUCCCAUGAGGGACCUGAAUUCCCUUCUCUCCUGGGAGAGUCUGUGAGAUGAUACCAGCCUUGAGAAGCAGGCAUGGUUGUCCUGACAUCACCACACUACCACAGGAGCUUCUGGAAUAUGUUCUCUUCAUGGAAGCUGUGGAACAGAGCCCCCUCUGGUCCAGGAGGACUAACCAGAUUCAAGGCUAUCAGCAUCCCCCUUCAGGUAAGUGUGCCUCGGGUGAGCAUGCACUUAAUGUAGGUGUAUGUCACUCGGCUCGGCCCACUACCCAAUGCUGUCCCACCCCUUCUUCACAGGACAGUGGAAGCAGUCACCUUUUCGAGAGAGUUGAUGUGAUCUUCGCCACUGUUCUUCGCCGGUGAUCAUGUGUGAUACUUGGAGAGAGGCUGGCCGUGAUGAAUUCGAUUCAUCUAAACGAGUCAUACACGGCUCUCCUCUCUUCUAGUGUCAAACUCUGCCUCAGAGGUCUUCUUGAGCCACUACUGUAUCCAAGGUGGGUUUCUGGAUGGUUGAACCUGUGAAAAGUACCUUCAUCCAAUUACAUAUUUUGUACAUUAACCCCAGUGUCCAAGGUGACUCACAUACGACUGCCUAGGACACUGCUGAUUUUUGAAGAGACCAGAGACACUGUUGGGAGAUUCUGUUUAAAUGUUUAAACACACUGGCUAGCUUCUGUUUUGGUUAGUGCCUAACUCUACCAUGGAAGAACAACUAGAAGCAGCCUUGGCUAGUUAACUUUGGGGAUACAGACUAGAAUGGGACCCGGGACAUUGUGAGCCUGUGUUGAGUUAUCUGUAGCCAUUCCAUAUUCUGAAGUGAAGUUUUUGAUGCUCAGCUUCACCCAGCAUCCCCAGGACAACCUGCCUUGCAAACUUGUGGUUUGCUGUGGGCAUGGCUCUGCCACCUUUGACUCAGUAAACAUUGCACAACGAGUGAAGAAUCAGCUUCUUCUUGGCACUUACUUGGGGCCGAUAAACCAGAGGUUGGUCAGAGAGCGUGGGCCUGGUUGGGACUUAAGCCACUUGGCCCACUUAUUCUCAGGGUCCUGUCCACUCUCAGUGGCUACUCCCAAGGUGCCCCACUGUGAAGAAGAUAAAGGAAUACUGUGAGAGGUGCCAUCCCCCGGUACUUGGAGGGAGGUUGCUCACAGUGAGCUUGCAUUAUUUAAUGAUGCCCAAUACAGGGCAGACCUGUUUUCUGUAUCACAUCUCACCAGGUGUUUCCUUGGACCUGAUACCAAUCGUGAGGAAGCCACGUUCCUGGCGGGGUUUGUACCAUCGUCCUUGAACAUGUGGUUCCUUCCAGUGUCCCCUGACCCCAUCCAGUCCCUUCAUGGAGGGCAUUGCCAACACUGAGGUAGAUACCCAUGUUACUAACUCAAGGCAUGGAUGUAGUGGCACUCAUGGUACCUCUGGCUUUUUUAAAAAGUAACAACCCCCCUCCUCCACUAGUAAAUCUCUUCUUAUAGGGAGGACUCAUACGUGCUAAGAAAUCCUGGAAUAGGGUCCAGGGGCCAGCAUUUUUCGGGGUGGGGAUAUAAGUGAGUGGGUGAUUUUCUAUGUUGGCUGGGAUCUCAGAAGAAAUUUGAGGACAGUGGAAGAACUAUUUUCCAAUUCUUCAUCCUCUUUGUAAAAAGAGGAUUUAUUCUUCCUAUUACUAUUUUAUUAAAAAGAUGUAUGCUCAUGAUAAA